UAAUAAUAAUCAUAAUUAUAAUAAUAUCGUCGUCAUCGUUGUGUGCUUUCGAACCUUUGGACGCGACAAAGAUCCCGGAAAAUCGGUCGAAUGGACGGUGCAGGCAGUGACAGUCUCCCGGGGGACCUUGCAGAGGAUCAGUAUACGAGAAAUCCUAAUUUUACCCCUUAAUCACUAUAUAUCUACUGCCGACAUUUCGGUCUAAUUACUACAGUUGGACGAAAACAUAAAAUCUGUACACAUGUACGUACCGGCUCAUAGUCAUCAUGCCAGAGUGACCAUUUAGCCCAGUGUUACCAACGAGGAAGCG